GUACAAGAUGGCUCUCACCAGAAUUGGUCUUGCUGGCCUCGCCGUCAUGGGGCAGAACCUCGCCCUCAACAUUGCAGAGAAAGGCUUCCCCAUCUCUGUCUACAACAGGACCACCUCCAAGGUCGAUGAGACUGUCCAGCGCGCCAAGCUAGAAGGAAACCUUCCUCUCUACGGUUUCCAUGACCCUGCAUCCUUCGUCAACUCCAUUCAGAAGCCACGUGUCGUCAUCAUGCUUGUCAAGGCCGGCGCACCUGUUGACCAGACCAUUGCGACGCUCGCAGCUCACCUGGAGCAGGGCGACUGCAUCGUUGACGGAGGAAACGAGUGGUAUGAGAACACGAAAAGGAGGGAGAAGGCGAUGGAGGAGCGUGGGCUCCUCUACCUCGGGAUGGGUGUUUCCGGAGGAGAGGAGGGUGCCCGCCAUGGCCCCUCCAUGAUGCCUGGAGGCUCAUUGGAGGCAUAACAGUACAUUGAAGACAUUCUUCUCAAGGUGUCUGCUCAGAUCCCUGACAGCGGCCCCUGUGUCACAUACAUUGGGAAUGGUGGAUCCGGAAACUUUGUCAAGAUGGUUCACAAUGGCAUUGAGUACGGUGACAUGCAGCUGAUCGCUGAGGCGUAUGACGUUCUCAAGUCGGUUGGCAAGCUUACAAACGGUGAGCUGCAGCAGGUUUUUGCCGAGUGGAACAAGGGUGAGCUCCUCAGUUUCUUGGUCGAGAUCACUGCUGAUAUAUUCAGCAUCAAGGAUGACCAGGGUGAAGGCUACUUGGUCGACAAGGUCCUGGACAAGACCGGGAUGAAGGGAACCGGGAAGUGGACGGUGCAGCAGGCUGCUGAGCUCUCUGUGGCUGCUCCUACCAUUGAGGCGUCCUUGGAUUCCAGGUUCCUCAGCGGACUCAAGGAUGAGCGUGUCGCGGCUUCCAAGAUCUUCCAGGGCGACUACUCCAGUGGCGAAACUGUGGACAAGGCACAGCUGAUCGAGGAUGUGAGGAAAGCCCUCUAUGCCUCCAAGAUCUGCAGCUACGCCCAGGGCAUGAACAUCAUCAAGGCCAAGAGCACGGAGAAGGGAUGGGGCCUCAACCUCGGCGAGCUGGCCAGGAUCUGGAAGGGCGGGUGCAUCAUCCGCGCCAGCUUCCUCGACCGCAUCAAGAAGGCCUAUGACAGGAACGGUGAGCUCGCCAACCUCCUGAUCGACCCUGAGUUCGCGCAGGAGAUCAUGGACAGGCAAGCCGCAUGGAGGAGGGUUGUCUGCCUCGCCAUCAACAACGGGGUCAGCACCCCUGGCAUGUCCACGAGUCUGGCCUACUUCGACUCCUACCGGAGGGACAGGCAAUUUUUUCUGGUUCAGUUGGGGGCUAAAUCUAGACUGCACCAAAAAUCAAGGGGCAAAAGGUACAAGAUGGCUCUCACCAGAAUUGGUCUUGCCGGCCUCGCCGUCAUGGGCCAGAACCUUGCCCUCAACAUUGCAGAGAAAGGGUUCCCCAUCUCUGUCUACAACAGGACCACCUCCAAGGUCGAUGAGACUGUUCAGCGCGCCAAGCUAGAAGGAAACCUUCCUCUCUACGGUUUCCAUGACCCUGCAUCCUUCGUCAACUCCAUUCAGAAACCACGUGUCGUCAUCAUGCUUGUCAAGGCCGGUGCUCCUGUUGACCAGACCAUCGCAACGCUCGCAGCACACCUGGAGCAGGGCGACUGCAUCGUUGAUGGAGGAAACGAGUGGUUCCUCAGCGGGCUGAAGGAUGAGCGUGUCGCGGCUUCCAAGAUCUUCCAGGGUGACUACUCCAGUGGUGAAACUGUCGACAAGGCACAGCUGAUCGAGGAUGUGAGGAAGGCCCUCUACGCCUCCAAGAUCUGCAGCUACGCCCAAGGCAUGAACAUCAUCAAGGCCAAGAGCACGGAGAAGGGAUGGGGCCUCAAUCUCGGCGAGCUGGCCAGGAUCUGGAAGGGCGGGUGCAUCAUCCGCGCCAGCUUCCUGGACCGCAUCAAGAAGGCGUAUGACAGGAACGGUGAGCUCGCCAACCUUCUCAUCGACCCCGAGUUCGCGCAGGAGAUCAUGGACAGGCAAGCUGCAUGGAGGAGGGUUGUCUGCCUCGCCAUCAACAACGGCGUCAGCACCCCUGGCAUGUCCGCGAGUCUGGCCUACUUCGACUCCUACCGGAGGGACAGGCUCCCUGCCAACCUCGUCCAGGCCCAGAGGGACUACUUCGGGGCGCACACCUACGAGAGGGUUGACAUGCCCGGCUCCUUCCACACCGAGUGGUACAAGAUUGCCAACUCAAAGAUCUAAGAUGCUGCUGCUGCUCUACCAAGAGACGGUCCAUCAGGUUUCGUCUUUCCGGUAUCCUUUGUUGCUGCCAGUCAUGAGUCCUUUUCCUGUAGGGGAGGAACCGCCGUUUAAUUUUUAUUAUUUGAGUAACGAGUCCUGUAUUUAUUUUCUACAAGGAGAUCACAUAUUCUCUCCAGUCUCCGCUACUUCCAUGUGAUUGAUCAACCCUGGAGGGAAGACAUUGCCAUUCUGAAUUAGUUUGAAUAAAAUGUGUUUUUACCUACC